rnacentral:lncRNA from 1 species
GGUAAUGAGUCAGCUAAACAAUCAACAGCCAAACACACAGUGCAUCCAGGACGUCAGCAGAGUUUUUAGAGAAUUGAGUUUUCAGAAAAAUGAUUCCCACGGAACUAAUGGUAUUUUUGCAUAUAUAGGAGAAAACUAGUAUGUAUUUUUCUAAGACUCAAUGAGAAGAUUCCGAACCCUUCAAAAUGUGCUCAGAGGGUCUCUUUUAUAAUAGAGCCUUAGGGCAUCAACUUUUUCCUUGUUUUUCUUUUAGUCCUUACUUCAGAUUUGCACUUUUCCUAAAUGGUUCUUCAUUUCCUGAAUUGUGCCUCAAGUUUGAGGAAGGAAUUGUGUUUUAG